UACGGGAGGCAGCAGUGGGGAAUUGUUCGCAAUGGGCGCAAGCCUGACGACGCAACGCCGCGUGGAGGAUGAAGAUUUUCGGAUCGUAAACUCCUGUCGAAUGGGACGAAUGGCUCGGCCGUGAACAACGGCCGGGAAUGACGGUACCGUGAGAGGAAGCCCCGGCUAACUCCGUGCCAGCAGCCGCGGUAAUACGGGGGGGGCAAGCGUUGUUUGGAAUCACUGGGCGUAAAGGGCGCGUAGGCGGCUAUGCAAGUCAGGCGUGAAAGCCCCGGGCUUAACCUGGGAAUUGCGCUUGAAACUAGGUCGCUAGAGUGUGGCAGAGGGGGGUGGAAUUCCACGUGUAGCAGUGAAAUGCGUAGAGAUGUGGAGGAACACCGAUGGCGAAGGCAGCCCCCUGGGUCAACACUGACGCUCAGGCACGAAAGCGUGGGGAGCAAAUAGGAUUAGAUACCCUGGUAGUCCACGCCCUAAACGAUGCGAACUAGGUGUUGGGGAAGGAGACUUCCUUAGUACCGCAGCUAACGCGUGAAGUUCGCCGC
rnacentral:rRNA from 1 species